GAAAUGCGAUAAGUAAUGUGAAUUGCAGAAUUCAGUGAAUCAUCGAAUCUUUGAACGCACAUUGCGCCCCUUGGUAUUCCGGGGGCAUGCCUGUUCGAGCGUCAUUACAACCCUCAAGCUCUGCUUGGAAUUGGGCACCGUCCUCACUGCGGACGCGCCUCAAAGACCUCGGCGGUGGCUGUUCAGCCCUCAAGCGUAGUAGAAUACACCUCGCUUUGGAGCGGUUGGCGUCGCCCGCCGGACGAACCUUCUGAACUUUUCUCAAGGUUGACCUCGGAUCAGGUAGGGAUACCCGCUGAACUUAAGC
rnacentral:misc_RNA from 1 species